rnacentral:lncRNA from 10 species
CAAACUCAGUUUGCAGGAAGGAGCAUAGGAGAAUAAAGGAUGGAACAAAGAAGAAAAAGAACAGCAAGUUACUCUGAGUAUUGUGGAAACAAACUGAAAUUAGAGUGAGAGAGAGAGAGAAAAAAAAAGAAGGUCCGAGCAAUCUCAGAUAUAUGAGAGGCCAAGAUGGGAAGAUCACUUGGGUAAGACUGGGAAGAUUGAGUCUGCAGUGAGUCACAGUCGCAUCAUUCUGCUGGAUUUGAAUGGUACUGCUUCUGGCCCAAGUUGUCUGGGCAACCUUAGACAUGGUCUUUUUGAUUGGAGAAUGCAGAUGUAUGCAGCAACAGGGUGUCCAUCGCGCUUCCUUCACUGCCUUGAUCAUGUCGGGGUCACCACCUGCGGGGGUUUGUCCUGCAGACCCUGACUCAACGACGGAUGAAUAAUGUACACUGACACAGAUCUUAUGCUUGUCAGUCCUGCUGAGCAUCCAGGCCACUUACAGACUCCAAGAAGAGUCCUGUCAGCCACGGCUCUGACUUGUUGGCCCUCCCGGCAUUUAUUUAGCACACAUUUAAUGACAGAAGUCUCAGGUAAACACCACUAGAAGGCUGGAAACACUCUUUUUGUAGAACAUACAAAUGGACAUUUCUAAGCACAUUGAGGCCUAUAAUGAAAAAUCAAAUAUCCCACAAUGAAAACUAGAAGGAAGCUAUCUGUGAUAAUGCUUUGUGGUGUAUGGAUUCAUCUCACUGACUGAAACCUGAGUUUUGAUUCACCAGGUUGGAAACCUUCUUUUUGUAAAACCUACAGUGGGACAUUUCUGAGCUCAUUGAGGCUUGUAGUGAAAAACUGAGUUUCCUGCAAUAAAAACCGAAAACAGGUUAUCUGUGAAAGUGAUUUGUGAUGUGCAAAUUC